AGCUUUUUAACUUAAAAAUAAAAUUAUAAAUUUAAUUCUGAGACAGUUUUCUCCUU
rnacentral:tRNA from 1 species